UAUCAGCUUCAAAUCGAGCGAGGCUACCCGCUGAAUUUAAGCAUAUUAAUAAGCGGAGGAAAAGAAAACAACUGUGAUUCCAUUAGUAACGGCGAGUGAAGUUGGAAGAGGCCGUCGACGAAGCCGCCUGAUUGUGAUCAGUGCAGCAAUGUGUCGUAUGCGAGUGCUUACUUGUAAAACGCAAACUGUCUAGAUCGUCUUGAAUGAUCGUUCCAAAGAGGGUGGUAGGCCCGUAAGACAGGAGGCGGAUUGCAUUGGGUGCUCGGUAGAGUAGCUUUGUUUGGGAAUGCAAAGUUAAUGGCAGGUAGAUCCCUGCUAAGCCUAAAUAUAACAUGACACCGAUAGCGAAAAAGUACAGUGAUGGAAAGUUGAAAAGAACUUUGGAAUGAGAGUUAAAUAGUGCGUGAAACCGUUGAGAAGGAAGUGAUCGAGCGACUUAGACGUCCGGGUGUUAAAGCUGUCUAACAAGGCAGUGUCGCACACGGAUUGCUUGCGUCAAUGGCUUUGAGGGGUAACGGACCGAGUGUUGGUAGUCGACCUUAGGGUUGAUGAAGCAGGAGGAAACCGGGGCUCAGCGGAGUGAGGAAUACUGCGUCGCCGUAAGGUUGGGGCUUUGCGGGUUAUUGCAAGGUAAGGAUGUAAAUCUCUUCUGAGACUGCAAUCGUACCGGGUUUUGGCUUGUAAAUGCUGCUUGGGCGCAAAAGAUUGAUGCAUAAAUGUCGUCUCAAAUCGUCCCGUCUUGAAACACGGACCAAGGAGUCCACCAGUUGCGCGAGUGAUUGGGUGGAAAACCCAAACGCGUAAUGAAAGUGACUGUCGCGGCAAGCUGGUAACAGCAGCACCGUGCGCCGGCGUCAUGGCUUCUUAGCUAGGUGUCGAGCGAGAGCGUAGAUGGUGGGACCCGAAAGGUGGUGAACUAUACUUGAAUAGGUUGAAGUCAGGCGAAAGCCUGAUGGAGGACCGUAGCUGUUCUGACGUGCAAAUCGAUUGUCGAAUUUGAGUAUAGGGGCGAAAGACUAAUCGAACCACUUAGUAGCUGGUUCCAGCCGAAGUUUCCCUUAGGAUAGCUGUUACUCUCUGGAGUUUUAUCAGGUAAAGCGAAUGAUUGGUGAAUUCUGGGGGCAUGUCCCCUAGCUCAACUCUCAAACUUUAAAUUGGUAAGAAGCACCUUUCGCUUAAUUGGAUUGGUGCAUUGAAUCCGAGUAAUGUGUGGGCCACUCUUGGUAAGCAGGACUGGCGAUGCGGGAUGCUCCGAACGCGUAUUUAAAGAGACCUAAGGUCCGCGUAUCAGAACCCAGAAAAGGUGUUGGUCGAAUUUGACAGCAAGACGGUGGCCAUGGAAGUCGGUUCCCGCUAAGGAGUGUGUAACAACUCACUUGCCGAUUCGACCGGCCCUGAAAAUGGAUGUCGCUGCAGCGGACUUCUUAUAGUACGCCCUUGAAACAUGUAUAAAACAAGUAAGUUUCAAGGAGUAGGCUGGCGUGUCGGUGGCGUGGAAGGUGCUAGCGCGAGCUACACUGAAGCCGCCGAUAGUGCAGAUCUUGGUAGUAGUAGCGAAUAGUCAAAUGAGAACUUUGACGGCCGAAGUGGCGAAUGGUUCCUUGUAAACAGCAUUUGAACAAGGGUGAGUCGGUCCUAAGCUACAGCCGAAUGGUGUAGUGAAAGCGGAGUGAUGCCUUGGUAUUGCUCCCGUGGGCGAAAGGGAAGCGAGUUAAUAUUCUCGCGCGUCGACGUGGCUAGUGUGCUUCGGUACACAGAGCGGUAACGCAAAGGAACUCGGAGAAGCUUGCGGUUACAUCGGGAAGAGUUGUCUUUUCUUGCUAACGAGACGUUAGAGCAUGGAAUGAGUUUGGCUCGAGAUAUGCUUUGCGGCUCGGAAGAGCAGUGCUUUUCUUGCGCUGUCCGAUCAGUUGCCGUUGGCCCUUGAAAAUCCGAGUGAGUGAUUGAUGUUCACGCGACGCCGUACAGAUAUCCGCAACUGGUCGCCAAGGUGAGUAGCCUCUGGUCGAUGGGAGAAAGCGAGUAAGGGAAGUCGGCAAAAUAGAUUCGUAACUUCGGGAAAAGAAUUGGCUCUGGGCGUCGAGUAGUCUGAGCUUAUCAAUGAAGUAGGCAUCGUCCUGCUGUUGGGCUGGGUAACCCUUUCGGGGGGGACUCGGACCGACGGCGGGAUUGUCUAUGGAGUUGGUUUGCUAUGUCGUCUUCGGGCGGCUUCGGGCUACAAGGAACGAUGAACUCAGAACUGUCACGGUCUCGGGGAUUCCGACUGUAUAAUUAAAACAAAGCAAUGCGAUGGCGUUAAAACGUGUUGACGCAUUGUGAUUUCUGCCCAGUGCUCUGAAUGUCAAGGUGAAGAAAUUUGCUUAAGCGCGGGUAAACGGCGGGAGUAACUAUGACUCUCUUAAGGUAGCCAAAUGCCUCGUCAUCUAAUUAGUGACGCGCAUGAAUGGAUUAACGAGAUUCCCACUGUCCCUAUCUACUAUCUAGCGAAACCACAGCCAAGGGAACGGGCUUGGAAAAAUCAGCGGGGAAAGAAGACCCUGUUGAGCUUGACUCUAGUUUGACUUUGUGAAGAGACAUGAGAGGUGUAGAAUAGGUGGGAGCUCCGGCGACAAUGAAAUACCACUACUCUUAUCGUUUUUUUACUUAUUCAGUGAAGCGGGAAGCGCGGCUCUUGUAGUCGCUCAUUUGUAGUUUUAAGGAAGCGCACUUGUGUGCUUCUGACCACGCAUUGAAGACAGCGUCAGGCGGGGAGUUUGACUGGGGCGGUACAUCUGUCAAAGCGUAACGCAGGUGUCCUAAGGCAAGCUCAGUGGGGACAGAAACCUCACGUAGAGCAAAAGGGCAAAAGCUUGCUUGAUUUUGAUUUUCAGUAUGAAUACAGACCGCGAAAGCGGGGCCUAUCGAUCCUUUUGAUUUUAGGGGUUUUAAGCAAGAGGUGUCAGAAAAGUUACCACAGGGAUAACUGGCUUGUGGCAGCCAAGCGUUCAUAGCGACGUUGCUUUUUGAUCCUUCGAUGUCGGCUCUUCCUAUCAUUGUGAAGCAGAAUUCACAAAGUGUCGGAUUGUUCACCCGCUAAUAGGGAACGUGAGCUGGGUUUAGACCGUCGUGAGACAGGUUAGUUUUACCCUACUGAUGACCUGAAGUUGCGAUAGUAAUGCUGCUCAGUACGAGAGGAACCGCAGUUUCGGACAUUUGGUACACGUUCUCGGUCGAUAGACCGAUGGAGCGAAGCUACCAUCCGUGGGAUUAUGCCUGAACGCCUCUAAGGCAGAAGCCCGCCUAGUCAUGGCAACUUUACUGUUGGGCCUCUUUUUUGUGUGGGGAAGGAUAGGCUUUGGCCUCCAUCCCGGACUCAGGAACCUGGACUUGUGCUAUAAGUGUGCUUGUCCCUCCUGGAAAUCCAUUUAGCAGAGUU
rnacentral:rRNA from 1 species